rnacentral:rRNA from 1 species
AUUGAACGCUGGCGGCAGGCUUAACACAUGCAAGUCGAGCGGGGGAGGUUGCUUCGGUAACUGACCUAGCGGCGGACGGGUGAGUAAUGCUUAGGAAUCUGCCUAUUAGUGGGGGACAACAUUCCGAAAGGGAUGCUAAUACCGCAUACGCCCUACGGGGGAAAGCAGGGGAUCUUCGGACCUUGCGCUAAUAGAUGAGCCUAAGUCGGAUUAGCUAGUUGGUGGGGUAAAGGCCUACCAAGGCGACGAUCUGUAGCGGGUCUGAGAGGAUGAUCCGCCACACUGGGACUGAGACACGGCCCAGACUCCUACGGGAGGCAGCAGUGGGGAAUAUUGGACAAUGGGCGGAAGCCUAAUCCAGCCAUGCCGCGUGUGUGAAGAAGGCCUUUUGGUUGUAAAGCACUAUAAGCGAGGAGGAGGCUACUAGUACUAAUACUACUGGAUAGUGGACGUUACUCGCAGAAUAAGCACCGGCUAACUCUGUGCCAGCCGCCGCCGUAAAAC